UUUAUGGAGAGUUUGAUCCUGGCUCAGGAUGAACGCUGGCGGCGUGCCUAAUACAUGCAAGUCGAGCGAACGGACGAGAAGCUUGCUUCUCUGAUGUUAGCGGCGGACGGGUGAGUAACACGUGGGUAACCUACCUAUAAGACUGGGAUAACUUCGGGAAACCGGAGCUAAUACCGGAUAAUAUUUUGAACCGCAUGGUUCAAAAGU
rnacentral:rRNA from 1 species